rnacentral:rRNA from 1 species
UACGUAGGGUGCGAGCGUUGUCCGGAAUUACUGGGCGUAAAGAGCUCGUAGGUGGUUUGUCGCGUUGUCCGUGAAAACUCACAACUCAAUUGUGGGCGUGCGGGCGAUACGGGCAGACUGGAGUACUGCAGGGGAGACUGGAAUUCCUGGUGUAGCGGUGGAAAUGCGCAGAUAUCAGGAGGAACACCGGUGGCGAAGGCGGGUCUCUGGGCCAAGUGAACGCGUGAGGAGCGAAAGCGUGGGGAGCAACAGG